AGUCCCCAAGGAAAAAUAGCAGCAGCACAACUAGAUGACGCUGCUAUUUGUCCUCAGGAAAAACACACUUCAGCGUUUGUCUGGAUGCACCUGGAUGGCUAGUUGGGGCAUCUAUAGCAUCUUACAUCAUGUCAGACUCCUUUAUAAGUCAUCUUUAGGUCUCAUGAGGUCAUCAGUCAGAACAGUUUUCCCUGAUCAAACACUCUUCAGAGGAAAGAUCUAAAUGCACUUUCAGUCUCCGGGUCUGAUUUACUCCUAAAGAAAAAUCCACUAGGAUCCUGUCACAGAUUCUGAAAUGUACAAUUUGAUCUGGAAACUUUGCAUCACUUCUGAAUAUUUCUUUCCAGAAGUAAGAUCUGGACUCUUAGAAAUGCUCUCCCAGCAUCUCAUACUGGCUGACAAGCCAGCCUACAAAAUGUAGAAUUUGCUACCUGAUAUAUUUUUUCUCUACAGCACUGUCUACUUUAAAAAAAAACCCAAACAACCCUUUGCUGGUAUAGCUGUGUGUGAAAAUAACACCUCUAAUUGCUAUUGCUCUGGGAGUAAGAGUCCUAGUAUAGGCAAAAUUAUACAUUCUAGGGGAAAAAAAUCUUAGGAUAGCUGGUUUCAUUCUAGGACCUAGUAGAAGCUAUGCUCUUGCCAAUGUAAGCUGUGACAACUCUAGGAGGUUUCGCUAUUACAUCAAUAGUGGCACAUGCAGCUGCAGAGAUAAGUUCUUUGGCUAUCUGUACCAUGUUCUUAUCAACGUCCAUGUGUCUAAUUAUCACAGCUAGAAAAGGCGUUAUUACUGAUCUAGUAAUAAGUAUUUAGUGUUUCCAUAGGCUUUGGAAGUAGUAAUUUAGCACAGAGGUAGAAAGGAUGUGACUAGCCCCUAAAGUCUCUGACUCCACAAUUUAUAGGGAAAGAAGGACAUCUGUCAACUUGGAUUGUGGGAGUGGUUAGUCCAGAUUAGCUAUAUUCAUAUCACAAACUUUCUAUGAUCAGCUCAGGAAGGUAGCAGUCAUGACCAAGGUUUACAACAAAGGAUUAUUUUCCCUUUGGAACUCUCCUGCAAUCCAGCAAGCUUCCCAGAAAAUGGUGCUCUGGGAGUCUGAUGGGAAUGAAGUUGCUCAGACUCUUGCAUUAAUAUUUACUUGUAAACUUAUUUUAUAUGUAGCAUAGGAUUAGGGAAGGAAAUUGCAGGAGUGGAGUAGCUGCUGGGAUUCACGGAACAUUUCACAACAGCAGCUUACUGUGGGGCACCCUUCAUCUUCAGCAGUACCUAAUGGAUUGUGCCUUUAGGAAAUCCAUCUUCCAAAGAAUUUUCUGUGCCCUAUAUUUUUCCAUGGUUCCCUGAGCAGCUUCUGUUGAUUGUCUUGAUCAAAAUUCUGUUUACAUGGUGCUCUCUGCUAAAUCUUUCAGUGGUGCUUUUUUAAGGUGCUGGAUAAAUGAUUUCAACGUACUUUCUCUGCUCAGACAUGUAGCACUCCACUUGGCAAUUACUACUUUUUAGCACUAGCAUUGUUACUCCAACCACAAAGUACUGAUGAUACUCCACUUUUUCUUGUCCAUCCUACAUUGAAUCAAAGUAAGUCCUCAUAUCUAACCAUGCAGGUCUGGUCAACAUUUAAAAGAAGCCACUUGGAAGCAGGUUCCUUGGCUUGAAAGUAGUUGGGUGCAUGAAUCUGAUCUGUACAUUUGGAGACUUCCCAGACUUCUCUCUCAUCCCUGAUUCUGUCUGUAGGAAAAUUAACACACAAUUCAGAUUUGAAUGGAUUGCUCCAAUUAAAGCAUGCCUGAGACUCCUGGACUUUACCAUACUGCUCAGCUCAAGAUCUAGCCUGUUGAAAAAUACAAGAAUGCAGAAAGAAUGGCUCAGGAUCUCAGGAAAUGGUGUCUUGUGCUCCUAGAGACAUUGGUGCAAAUCCUGUUCUGAGUAAAGGAAACACAGCUGAUGUUGACUUAGACAGGCAUUGCCAUUACAUACACUAACACUAAAGCUGGCUCUUGGUUUCUGCUUGUAGAAUGAGAUUGACUGAAGACAUUACGAAGGGAGCUGCCAGUAUGUGGAAAAGCAUAAAGAUGUAUUACAUUGCCAACUUGCCACUGUUCUCAGAACAACAGCCCUUUUGCAAACUAUUAAAAAAGAGUGGUAGUGGCUAAAGAGAGAAGUAGGACAGUAAAGUUUCUGCAUUCCCCUCAUUGGAGAAGAGAGAGUAUCAUCACAUACUUUGACUGGACGUGUGGAAGAUUCUUUACUCAGAAUUCCCACAUGCCUGCCCAAAAGCAUUCAAUAGCUCAGUUGCCUCGGUGCUCAUUUUCCAGUCAUGCUGAACUCACCAUAUGCAGUGGACUUUGCAGUUCUCUUGAGGAGAAGGACAAAGAUGCAGGAUGGUUUCUGAUGUAAGAUUUACCAGUGAUCGCUCUACAAAACAUAGCUGUGCUCCUUGCCUAUCAUGAGUAGAGAGAUUUGUUAGCCAUGUUAGUCUGAUACCUAGUCUCUAAAAAGCCACUCUGCCCUGCCUUCGUGAAUUACUUGGCCAGUAGCUGUUAUGCAUGCUGUGUCAAAGCCAGAGAAGAUUUAAGUCUCCUAUGUUUCUCAACUUGUUGAACUGUAAAAAAUCUUUAAGAUCUGGAGAUGGCCAGUUCAAAAAUCUAAUGUUUUCCAAGAUAAAGUCCGUCAUGCACAGGCUGACAAAGUGCCUACAAAUAAAGAUGUGAAAAGGUCAGUGUUUCUGCACAAUUCAUAGGUUGAUCUACAAUAUCAACUUAUGGUACUGUCCUGCGGUGUACUUUUUAAAAUCAUGGCUUUUUUGUGUUAUGUUUAUCCUUUUAAUAGUAGUGGGUUUCAAGUUUUGUAUACUUACAGAUCCACUGUGUAACUGUUAUUAACAAGCAUACAUAUGUUUGUUAUAGGAAAUUAUUUGGUGUAAAAGGCAGCUAUAUUUAAAGAGUGGCUAUGUUAUUUCUUGAUCUUUGUACAAAAACAACAUGUGAUCAGUUAAUUGGAAAGUACUUAAAAUUAACUUUGUUUUAAAAUGCCUUUAUUUAAACUCUGUAAUGCCUUCCCUUCAGAACAGCAUAGUAUUGCCAACUCCUGCAAAUCUGAGUCUCCUGAAAUCUUAAAGCACUUAAAUUAUUUUUUAAUAAAAAAUUGUAACCUUCAAAAUAUCUUGAAAGGUGACUGAAGUAUAGCCUGAAGGCUUGAGAACCCAGGAGGCCAAUAAAAAGCACUCAAAUUUUAUAAUUGUUUUUCUAAAUUACAUAAUUUUAACAGUAGGAGUUGACAGUGCUGAUGCUUUCACUCCCUAAUGCCCAUAGAGAGACCAUCACAUAUCAUUUCAGACUUUCCAUAAGAGGCUCAAGUUGUUAACGUCAGGGUUGUGACAUAGCUGUGGGGUUUUUUGCAGCAUUUUUUAUAUAUUUACAGCAAUCAGCGUUUUAAUUACAUGUUUCAGAAGGAUUAAAUGUGUCAGGGGAAGAAUUUAAUCUGGGAUUUCUCAGAAGCACCUCAAAGAUUUACAAGUAUGGGACGUUGGCUCUAAAUUAGCUACUUUGAAGACCACACCCUUGCAGACCAUAUUCUGUAGACUUUACUCAGGCAAGAUGCUCUGUUGCCUCAGAAGUACUCUGCUAACAAGGAUCAAAGUGAUCGAUAGACCAGACUACAAAUGGCUAAAAGCACAAGAACUUUGCAGUCUCUCAAAAGCCUGAGGACAUGAGAAUUUACCUUGAUCCUUGGGGCUAUAGCAGCAGAGUCUUUACUCAGCCUGCCUAUCUAGAAUGUCCUUACAAGCAGACUCUCUGGUCUACUGCUAUGGCCAAUUAAUAGGCAAGUGGACUUUCCUAGGAAUUACUGAUUUUCCACCUGUGCCUCACUUAAAUAUUUCUACCUGGCCCUGUUUUGCCUGCAUAGCAAUGACUUUCUAGAAAGGAAUGUAGCACAAUCCCAGGGUCCUCUUAAUCCAUAAUGCAAAAAUGAGCUGCUUUUCCUCAGCAGGCCAACUCUCCAGAUUAAAGAAAAGCUGUAAAAAAGCCACAUGGCUAAAUCAGAAAGGAACAUUUCCUCUCCAGUGGAGACAAUGUUGAAUACUGCCACUACUUGGGAGAACAGAAAGAAAAGUAACAGGUAUGUUUAAUUUAUGCUCCUUCCAUACCCCAGACAUGCACAUGCACCAGUGGAGUGUCAUACAGCAGACAAGGCCACAAUUGAGAGCAUUCUCAAGAGCUAGAAAGAUUGUAUUAGAACUGUUAUCAGUAUUUCCUUAGCAAAAUAGGGGGACAUAUGAGAAUCCCCUUCCCCGUCUUACCAUACGGUGCUUGUCUUUUGUCGAAGUGUAAUGUAAGCAGAAAUGAAAUCUAUAGGUAGCUUCUAAAUAGACAUACUGCAGCAUGAGAAAUCCCAGUGGCCAAGUGUUGUUAUGUUAAAGUAAAUUUGUCAUUAUCGCUGACUUCAAGGGACUUGCCUACAUUUAUGCUAAUAGAAAUCAAAAUUGGACUCUAACAGGAUAACUUGGGCAAGUUAAAGAUACAGAUUCAGACCCCAAGGUACUGUUGAGGCAAUGUGUAGUUUUGUAUUGGGUAUCUGUGCAUAUUUUAGUUGAUGUAAUUUUUGUUUCUUCUGUCCUGAUCAACACGCAUCACUCCCAUUGGAACAGCUAGACAUGCAGGGCUUUGUUGUGUUCUUAAUAAUAACUAUCACAAGGAGCAUGCCUCAGUAGUAAUACUCCAAGGAUUUACUUUAAAUCAGGUGCUACAGAGAAUAGCUAUACUUCAGCACAAAAUUACUUUAUCUAGGUUAUACAGUGUAUACUUAAGACAUAUGGCGUAUAUAUUUGUAAUUAUAGGCAUCUCUUUUUAUUUUGCUGUUGUUUUAUAAUGGAAAAAUAUGUAUUAUAAUAAUUUCCUAUCAAUAUUCUAUUAAGCAACAAACUUUUUUCCACCCUAUAUUUGGUUCUCUUGUCACCAAGGCAGAACAGCAAAAUAUUUUCUAACCAUUAUAAUUUUUAAGAGAGGUCAUUACAACCGUAUCAGACUCAAACCUUGGACUGGAUACAGAGCCUGUGUUAAAUAUACUGUGUGUAAUUCAGAUGCAUGGAUAAUCCAAGCAGUUCAAGUAAGUGAUUGUAAUAUAAGAAAUUGGAGUCAGUGCAUGCAGACUUCCAAGAUGGCACUAGCAGAGAGGCUUGUUUGCAACCUGGUUGGUUAUUUAGCUUGCAACCUUUUCAAAUCAGUAUAGUUUUAUUAACAGAACAGCAGGCAGUAUAGUAUAGUUUUCCAAAAUUAUGGUCCUUAAAUUGUAGCUUUGCUGUAAUUGCAGGGCCGCAUUACUGUGGGAGUAAUUCGGAGUCAACACUGCAAAGUUACAGUUUGCAAAUUGAUAAAUACCAUGAAAUUCCUUUCAAUAUUUUUUGUAAUAGUAUGUAUGAUCUGAUGUAAUUUAGCGAUACCAUUAUUCUAAGAAUGUUAAUUUGAUGUUCCUAGCCAAUUUAGCUUUUUGGCUGCUGAAAGCACAGUAGGUAAUUAUGGUUAUUUACUAUAUGUGUAGACAAGUUCUGUGUAAAUACAUCAGGGCAAAAAAUGUAACUUAAAGUAUGAGGCAAGUUGUGAGUUAUAUAAAAGUAAGAACACAGGUCAGUAAUAUUUAUGUUUAUUUAUGUACAGCAGUAUCAUAAUCUCUACUUGUUUAUAUGCUGAUGAAACCUUCAUAUUCUGUCCUAUAUUCUAUGGAAGUUUUUAAAAUAGGCUCUGCCAUUUUUUUCUGAUUCAUAUAUUUGCAUAUAACUUUUAAAUUUAUUGGUAAUCCAUGUAAACAAUGUCAAAAUGAGAAAUGUUUUAUGUUGAGAUGAAAUGAAACAAGCCUAAUUUUAAAAUACUGGGAUAAUUCAAUAAAUUGAAAUCUAUAUAAAACCUGAAUAGCCAAAUACAAUAAACUAUCAUUAAAAAGUUUGGUCAUUUUUUUGGAAAGGGUCUUUAAAAAAAAAAAAAGCACCCCAAAUCCUUCUUGUUGCUUGAUGAAGGAGAUGUGUGUUUUUUGUGGGGGAGGAUUUCUGUUGCUUUCAGUAACAUAUAAUAUUUUGGAUUAACCAUUAAAUCUACUUAUUUCAA